UCAAUUUGAGAGAAUUCUUGAAAAUUUAGGCUUUUCUCUUUUUUUUUUAGCAUUUUUGCUAAAUUUAGCUUCUUUAAGUUCUUUAAGAAGUAAGAGUCUUCAGAAGUCAUGUUGAGCCAAAGAGCAGGGAUCAACUUAUCUAUAAUUCCGUAGCAUUUUUCCUUUCCUUAUUUUAUUUUUCUACUCUUUAUUUUUGCAUUCCUUUUAGGAUUGUAGAUUCAAUUAGAGGGAGGAGUUUAUUUUAGUCAGUUAUAGUUUUGGUAUUGCAUACGUUGAGUGGGUUUUAUGAGUUGAUUCGAUCCCCAUACCCUCCCGCAUCAUCUGGUAUCAAAGCUUUGGCUCCUAGAAACCCAAAUCUAUCUUUAUUUGUCU
rnacentral:lncRNA from 1 species